CAGCAGGACGAUGGCCACGGAAGUCAGAAUCCGCUAAGGAGUGUAUAACAACUCACCUGCCAA
rnacentral:ncRNA from 1 species